rnacentral:rRNA from 1 species
GACGAACGCUGGCGGCGUGCUUAACACAUGCAAGUCGAACGGAAAGGCCCUGCUUUUGUGGGGUGCUCGAGUGGCGAACGGGUGAGUAACACGUGAGUAACCUGCCCUUGACUUUGGGAUAACUUCAGGAAACUGGGGCUAAUACCGGAUAGGAGCUCCUGCUGCAUGGUGGGGGUUGGAAAGUUUCGGCGGUUGGGGAUGGACUUGCGGCUUAUCAGCUUGUUGGUGGGGUAGUGGCUUACCAAGGCUUUGACGGGUAGCCGGCCUGGGAGGGUGACCGGCCACAUUGGGACUGAGAUACGGCCCAGACGCCUACGGGAGGCAGCAGUGGGGAAUAUUGCACAAUGGGCGGAAGCCUGAGGCAGCAACGCCGCGUGCGGGAUGACGGCCUUCGGGUGGUAAACCGCUUUCGCCUGUGACGAAGCGUGAGUGACGGUAAUGGGUAAAGAAGCACCGGCUAACUACGUG